rnacentral:rRNA from 1 species
AUAAGAGUUUGAUCCUGGCUCAGAUUGAACGCUGGCGGCAUGCUUUACACAUGCAAGUCGGACGGCAGCACAGGGAAGCUUGCUUCUCGGGUGGCGAGUGGCGAACGGGUGAGUAACAUAUCGGAACGUACCGGGUAGCGGGGGAUAACUGAUCGAAAGAUCAGCUAAUACCGCAUACGUCUUGAGAGGGAAAGCAGGGGACCUUCGGGCCUUGCGCUAUCCGAGCGGCCGAUAUCUGAUUAGCUGGUUGGCGGGGUAAAGGCCCACCAAGGCGACGAUCAGUAGCGGGUCUGAGAGGAUGAUCCGCCACACUGGGACUGAGACACGGCCCAGACUCCUACGGGAGGCAGCAGUGGGGAAUUUUGGACAAUGGGCGCAAGCCUGAUCCAGCCAUGCCGCGUGUCUGAAGAAGGCCUUCGGGUUGUAAAGGACUUUUGUCAGGGAAGAAAAGGCUGUUGCCAAUAUCGGCGGCCGAUGACGGUACCUGAAGAAUAAGCACCGGCUAACUACGUGCCAGCAGCCGCGGUAAUACGUAGGGUGCGAGCGUUAAUCGGAAUUACUGGGCGUAAAGCGGGCGCAGACGGUUACUUAAGCAGGAUGUGAAAUCCCCGGGCUCAACCCGGGAACUGCGUUCUGAACUGGGUGACUCGAGUGUGUCAGAGGGAGGUGGAAUUCCACGUGUAGCAGUGAAAUGCGUAGAGAUGUGGAGGAAUACCGAUGGCGAAGGCAGCCUCCUGGGAUAACACUGACGUUCAUGUCCGAAAGCGUGGGUAGCAAACAGGAUUAGAUACCCUGGUAGUCCACGCCCUAAACGAUGUCAAUUAGCUGUUGGGCAACUUGAUUGCUUGGUAGCGUAGCUAACGCGUGAAAUUGACCGCCUGGGGAGUACGGUCGCAAGAUUAAAACUCAAAGGAAUUGACGGGGACCCGCACAAGCGGUGGAUGAUGUGGAUUAAUUCGAUGCAACGCGAAGAACCUUACCUGGUUUUGACAUGUGCGGAAUCCUCCGGAGACGGAGGAGUGCCUUCGGGAGCCGUAACACAGGUGCUGCAUGGCUGUCGUCAGCUCGUGUCGUGAGAUGUUGGGUUAAGUCCCGCAACGAGCGCAACCCUUGUCAUUAGUUGCCAUCAUUCGGUUGGGCACUCUAAUGAGACUGCCGGUGACAAGCCGGAGGAAGGUGGGGAUGACGUCAAGUCCUCAUGGCCCUUAUGACCAGGGCUUCACACGUCAUACAAUGGUCGGUACAGAGGGUAGCCAAGCCGCGAGGCGGAGCCAAUCUCACAAAACCGAUCGUAGUCCGGAUUGCACUCUGCAACUCGAGUGCAUGAAGUCGGAAUCGCUAGUAAUCGCAGGUCAGCAUACUGCGGUGAAUACGUUCCCGGGUCUUGUACACACCGCCCGUCACACCAUGGGAGUGGGGGAUACCAGAAGUAGGUAGGGUAACCGCAAGGAGCCCGCUUACCACGGUAUGCUUCAUGACUGGGGUGAAGUCGUAACAAGGUAGCCGUAGGGGAACCUGCGGCUGGAUCACCUCCUU